CCUACGGGAGGCAGCAGUGGGGAAUAUUGCACAAUGGGGGAAACCCUGAUGCAGCGACGCCGCGUGAGUGAAGAAGUAAUUCGUUAUGUAAAGCUCUAUCAGCAGGGAAGAAAAUGACGGUACCUGAGUAAGAAGCCCCGGCUAACUACGUGCCAGCAGCCGCGGUAAGACGUAGGGGGCAAGCGUUAUCCGGAUUUACUGGGGGUAAAGGGAGCGUAGACGGCAGUGCAAGUCUGGAGUGAAAGGCGGGGGCUCAACCCCCGGACUGCUCUGGAAACUGUACGGCUGGAGUGCAGGAGAGGUAAGUGGAAUUCCUAGUGUAGCGGUGAAAUGCGUAGAUAUUAGGAGGAACACCAGUGGCGAAGGCGGCUUACUGGACUGUAACUGACGUUGAGGCUCGAAAGCGUGGGGAGCAAACAGGAUUAGAUACCCUGUAGUC
rnacentral:rRNA from 1 species